rnacentral:rRNA from 1 species
UACGUAGGGUGCAAGCGUUGUCCGGGAUUAUUGGGCGUAAAGAGCUCGUAGGCGGUCUGUUGCGUCGGCUGUGAAAACCCGGGGCUCAACCCCGGGCCUGCAGCCGAUACGGGCAGACUAGAGUUCGGCAGGGGAGACUGGAAUUCCUGGUGUAGCGGUGAAAUGCGCAGAUAUCAGGAGGAACACCGGUGGCGAAGGCGGGUCUCUGGGCCGAUACUGACGCUGAGGAGCGAAAGCGUGGGGAGCAAACAGG